GCGUCCGUAGCUCAGCUGGAUAGAGCAACGGCCUUCUAAGCCGUGGGUCGCAGGUUCGAAUCCUGCCGGAUGCGCCA
rnacentral:tRNA from 2 species